GACUGGGAUAACUCUGGGAAACUGGGGAUAAUACCGGAUAUUAGGUGGUGCCUGCAAUGGUUUACCUUUGAAAUGUUUUUUGUAUUCGCCUAAGGAUAGAUCUGCGGCUGAUUAGGUCGUUGGUGGGGUAAUGGCCCACCAAGCCGAUGAUCGGUACGGGUUGUGAGAGCAAGGGCCCGGAGAUGGAACCUGAGACAAGGUUCCAGACCCUACGGGGUGCAGCAGGCGCGAAACCUCCGCAAUGUACGUAAGUGCGACGGGGGGAUCCCAAGUGUUAUGCUUAAUAGUAUAACUUUUCAUUAGUGUAAAAAGCUUUUAGAAUAAGAGCUGGGCAAGACCGGUGCCAGCCGCCGCGGUAAUACCGGCAGCUCGAGUGGUAGCUGUUUUUAUUGGGCCUAAAGCGUUCGUAGCCGGUUUGAUAAGUCUUUGGUGAAAGCUUGUAGCUUAACUAUAAGAAUUGCUGGAGAUACUAUCAGACUUGAAGUCGGGAGAGGUUAGAGGUACUACCGGGGUAGGGGUGAAAUCCUAUAAUCCUGGGAGGACCACCUGUGGCGAAGGCGUCUAACUAGAACGAUCUUGACGGUGAGUAACGAAAGCCAGGGGCGCGAACCGGAUUAGAUACCCGGGUAGUCCUGGCCGUAAACGAUGUGGACUUGGUGUUGGAAUGGCUUUGAGUUGUUCCAGUGCCGAAGGGAAGCUGUUAAGUCCACCGCCUGGGAAGUACGGUCGCAAGACUGAAACUUAA
rnacentral:rRNA from 1 species